rnacentral:lncRNA from 1 species
UACAGGCGGAAGCGGAUAGCACAGGCAGCCACAUCUCUGGGCUCCAGCUUGGUGAAGGUGACCUUCUCCUUAAAAACAGGGUUGGGGCCUCUCUGUAUGCUUGUCCUUCCCCUCUGUUUCUUACUGGGCAGCAGAACUACGUGAACUUGCCAGGAGUUGACACCACUUCGGUCCUUAUCUGGGAGGCCCUGCGCUCUCACAAUGGUCACUGUGAGCUUCUGGCUGGAACCUUUAUAUUCAAAGAUGACAUCCAAGUCACCACAUUUUGAGAUGGGCUCCAGGGCCCCAGUCGGCACCUGAAAAUUGGCCCCAUCCUGUUCCUGUUGCAGAUAGAGGAAGAGAUUAGGAAUGGAAAUGAUAAUGCCCAAAUACAUUUUGGUGAGAUAGAGCCCCUCUGUUCUCUAACAACACUGUACUUUUUGACUGCUAGCACACAUCCCUGUUCACUAGAAGGGUCUGUUUACUGGUGUACAUCUCCCUUAGAUUGUAAAUUCUUUGGGGGUACAGCGCCUGGCAUAAGGUGAAUCUUCACGAAUGCUUCUGGAAUGAAUGAACAAAGCUUUUAUAUUUUACAAAGUGUUGUCAUAUACACUCUCAAAAAGCACACCUGACCACUAUCAUUGAAACCGAGGUCUAAAGUCUAAAAUUAGUCACCUAUACAGCUUCCAAGAGAGAACUUUUUCUGGAGUUCCCAGAAAAAAUGGUUGAGCCUGGGCCUGUGCUCCAAGAGCCAGGACUUCCUGCAGAUGAGAAUCCUAAUGGGGGUCACAGACAGGUGAUUCUUCAGUAGAUUUUCCAGCUACAUGGGAGAAAAUGUCUAGGGUAGAGCUUCUCAAACGUUUGUGUGGACUUGAGUCACUCAGAGUUUCUGAUUCUGUAGGACUGGGGUGGGGCCUGAGGCUCUGCAUUUCUCAGGUCACAAGGAUGUCACCAUUGGCCUCAAACCACACUCUGAGUACUGAGGGUUUCGGAGGGCAUCCUCAGCAGCCACUUAGCAAACAGCAAUACCAGACGUGGAGACAGAACUUGGGUUGAAAUCAUAACUCUACCAUGGACUGGCUUUUUGACCCUGGCCAAAUAGGCCACCCUCUCUGUGGUCUAGCUGAAAAAUGAGCAUUAAGAUGCCUAUUUGAUGGAGUGUUAUAGCAAGGUUUUAAGAGAUAUGGGAAAACACCUGGCUCAGACCAGACUCCAUAAAUACCUAUUCCCAUCAAUGGACUGAUGACACCUAUUUUCAAACAUGGCCCCCCUCAUUAUACAAUAUCACCCUUCGACAACAAUUCACCCAUAGCCAGUCAGAUCUGAUGACCUCACUGAGAACACUGAACUGAGCUGAUUAUAAUGAAGUAGUCUCUAACAAACUAUAAAGAAUGUCAACAUAAUUUGAUUUUUUUCUAUGAAGGCAUGAUACUUACUCAUAACUAAACUUUGGCCUGAUUCUUAUUAUAAAUCAGAACCCAUUCUUAUUUAUGUGACUGAACACCAGACUUCGAUAAUCUAAAGACUACUUUAAAAUAUAUGAUAAAGCACCUCAAAAACGUGCAUUCAUCAUCAAAACUUCCCCACAGAGUCGAGGUGAAAGUGCACAGUUCACUGGAAUGAGACAUCUUUAGGCGACCCAGGUCUACCACUUACUCUCUCCAUGACAUUGGACAAGGUAUUUAAUCUUUCCACUUGUGGCUUUCUUCAACAGUAAAAUGGGGGAUGAAACCAAUUACAGGAUUGUUGCGAAAAUUAAAGGACUUGACAAACAGGAGACAUAGCAUAAAUGUCUUCUCUUUUAAAAUGCACAUUCGUCUACCAAGAAAAUUUAGGCUUUUGCAAAAAAAGGGAAGCUCCUUAUAUUCUUUCCUCAGCAUGCAUUCAUGUGAGAUUGCUUCUAUUCAGAGGUACUUAGUUUCAAGUGAUAAAAGUGGUUGCUAUAGAGACUUCUGAAUACAACUGACUAGUGUAGAUUUAAUAUUAGAAGCAAGUCUCCAAGGAGUUAGGCUAACUCAGAAAUCAAGUCACAGUCUUCUGUUAAAACUCCCAUCUAUUUUAGCCUCCUCUUGAUCAUCUCUAUAUUGCUUGCUGGAUCAGAAGUAAUCAGGGCUAACAUCUACUAAGCUGUCUCUUGUGCCAGGUACCAUACUAAACACUUUAUGGUCUGCAAAAGCCCACUUUCAGGCACUUCAGACCUUCUCGGCCUCACCUUUUCCAGCAGGCACAGACUGUUGGGCUCUAAGUAGCUUCAGCCUGGCACAGCCCAACACAGUCUUACCGCUUGUCCAGGCAAUGCAACUCUCAACUCCCACCACAGGCCUCUACUGAUGUCAAGGAUUGGAAUGUUACAGAAUGCUGCAUGGCAUUCAUGUAUAUAAAGUCCAGAGUGUCGUGGAGGUUAAUGCCCCAUGCAAUAAACUUGUGUCCCCUUGGAUAGAUGUCCUGAGAUGAGUUAGCACAGCUUCUUGCAGUCCCAUAAGAUCAAGCCAUGAGCCACACUUAGUGGUGGCCAACUUGAUUACACAUUCUUAUACUGGCUCUCCCUUCUACCCUGCUUCAUUCCCCCCUUGUCCCUCACUCUUCUCAGAGAAUCCCUGUUCUCAGGGAUUAUACAUCCUGACAAAACAGGCUCUGCUUUUUGGGAAUCUACCUAAGAAAUGUUAUCUUUUAAAAUAUUCACAUUAACCUAACAAGGUAGGAAUUUUAAUAUCUUCAUUUUGUGGAGGGAGGAAACUUAAGGCUUAGAAAGACUAAAUAACUCACUCACUGCUCCCAACAUCAUAUGCCCUACCAAGGCUAUGCAGGAUUUACCAAUAUUAAUGCUCAAAAUCCUAAACCUUAGACUGAACCAUGAUGACUCCCUUCUACCCCCCCCCCAAGCCUCUCACCACAGCUAUUUAUAUUUGUAGUAAGUGUGUGGGGUGAGGCGGGAGUAAAAGGAGAGAUGGAAACACAUACUACUUUGAAUUUCACAUCCUUUUAGGUCCCUGCUCUUCAUAAUAGUUAGCAGAAGUUGUCAGCAACUUCAAUGCCAAGGUAAAAAUAUUCUAGUCAGUGACUUAUCUCUCCACUUAUCCAUCGGGCUAUCUAUUCAGACAAAUGCUCAUUCCACCUGCAGGUCUGUGCUAAGCCCUUUGAAGGUCUCUGAAACAACUCUCCUAAGAACCCUGCAUAAAACAGAGCUGUAGGCCCUAGCCAGGCUCUGGACAGGGACGAUCCGAGCUGUGGCACAGGGAAACUGGGCUCUGUGGCCCCUUCCUGGGUUGAUCUGAAACAAAGAUUUGUGAAGGCUGGUAUUUUUAUAGCAAUUAAUUAUUUCAACACACUUUACCUAUCACCAGGCAACUAAAGGCUCUCCUCAUGCGGGUACUGUUAAUACCACUAAUCCAUCUGACCUUCCUGCAAGGUAAAAAUCUCUUCAUUUUUAUCCCCAUUUGGCAGAUUUUAAUUAACUUCUCAAGGCCAACCAGUUAAUCAGUAGAAAGCAGAGAUGAAAAGUGGGACACCUGCCUCCCUGUGUGCUCAAAAUCACCAGCCACCCGUCCAUUGUCUUCCCUGCCAAGCCUUGGGUCUGCAGGAAAAAGUUGACGGCCUUUUCCAGCAGAAUAGAGCAGUGCUCAAAAAUCCAUCAGCCUAAAGGGUAGUCACACUGUAUGACUGGUUUCCUUCUAAGGCAAAAGAAAUGAUUCCUUUAGCUCUAAGAUCCUGAUUUUUCUCUAAGAUGGGAAUAUUUGUGCCACGUUGUCAAAACCCUCGUAGGUUUAAAGAUUUUCUAUCAAAUUGAAAGCCUUUGUGUUUUAGUAAGAUAGUGUUGAUGUCAUCUGUGUGGCCCAAAGUAAACAGACCUGCAAUAUGUUCCCAAUGCCAGAUACACAGGGGAAGACUGGGUUCUUAAUACAGUUAAGAGGCAAAUAAAUCAAUUCUUAAAAGGCAAGCUAAGCCUGCAAAGCAGGCAGUUACAGGAACUGCCUCCGAGCCGCAUCUGAGGUUCUACUGUAGGAGCACCAAAUUACAGUUUUUGUCUCAAAAUAGAUAGGAGGUUGAAUGGAGCACACAGAGAUGUCUGGGUAUUUUUGGAGUCUGAGAACAUUUAGUGCUCUCAACACCAAGUCUUCUAUUACAGCUCUGUGAGUCAGGCAGAUGGGAGGUUACCUGGCAAUUCCAAGCCUGAGGGAGCAAUUUUCAAGAGGACAGAGUUAUCAAUAGGCAGGUAAACGAUUUCUGUUUUGUUUUUGUGUGAGAAUCCAAAAAGAAUAUUUUUAAGCAUUCAAUGUUAUUGUGUGGGAUUUGAUAGGACUUGUCAGCAGCAAAUCAACUGGGAAGCAUAAAUUUUUCCCAAAACUUAUACGGUUAAUAGCUUUGGGUGUCUCUAUAUGUAGGAAUGCCCUUGACAAGCCACAAACCAUGUAUCUGCGUUACUGUUUCUCAUCCUCAGCUAUGACACCAACAUGUGGGUGCGCGCGCGCACACACACACACACACACACACACACACACACACACACACACACACACCUCCUUAUGCUCUCUCUAUACACCCCAGUGCAUCAACUAUAAGACUUUGGAACAUUAUUUUCUGUGAUUUUUUUUCCUCCUCCUUGAUGAGCAUCUGGUGUGUAUGACAGCCCAGGUCCUUCUAAGAGCUUCCACCUGGUUAUUUUCUCAAGCAGACCGAUGUUAACAAAAUCCAUUCACUUUUCUCCUUCCUCUUGCCCCACAAAUUAUAUGAAUAUUUUAUAUACAUAUAUUACAUAUUUCAUCAAAAUUAAUUUCAAAGUAGGCAGUAGACAUUAUUAUUUAAUAUCUCCUAAUGUUAUAGAAUCAUAAUAAAAGACAUCUAGCUAAUAAAGAAUAACUAUAAAUGCCUAUACGAUAAUGUUUGUAAAAUCUUUAUCACAGUGCCUGGCACAUAGUAAUUGCUCAAUAAAUGGUAGUGUCUGUAAUAAUCACCUCCAAUCAUACCUCUGGGUGGUUAGGAAUAUUCUGGAGUAAGUUUUAAUUAAAAAAUAAAUUUAGAAGGAGCAUCUUUUAUCAGAGGUUUAUUCCAAAAAGCAAAGUCAAUGGCAAGAGGGUCAUCACAAACUAAUGCCAUCUCCUAGAUCUUGAAUUCAGUGCAAAUCUAACAAACAUACUUACACUGCAAGAUAUUCAUCAUAUUUUGCAUCAUUUCAUUUGGAGGGCCACUGUAUUUUAGUUUAAUUUUCAAGUAAUUCUCAUAUUCAAAUAAUUAUAACUCAAGAUUGGGGUAAAUAAAAAUCGACUCCACUUAAUUGAAACCAUGAAGGAAAUAAACCAGUCUUCUCUAAAGAACUAAAAAAUCUUUUAUAUAAACAAGAAGCCUGAUUGCUGCUGGGUCCAUUCUGCCACUCUUCUUUUUUUCCCCCACUUUGAUAGAAAUUUAUUUACUAUUCUUUUAUUGGUAUACAUAGGAGCUGUGACUUAGUCACCUGAAAAAUUUUUAUUUCUUAUAAAUAAAGGCUCUUUAGGUCUUUGUUUUUCAAGGCAUUGCUUCCUUUCUGGAGAAAUUUUUUCCUUAAGACAUGAGCAGGAAGAGGAAAGCAAGAACUCACUAGAGAGCACCCAAUACUCAAGCAAAGAAAGAAUGGAAAACAAAUAACUUGCCUCUGGACUCCACAUGGAGCUGCUGUCAGUAGCAUAGGAGUCUUCAAAUCCCCGGUUAUUAAAAGCUGUCUCCAAUUCCAAGCUGCCUUCUGUGGACUGGCGACUAAGGCUGCGAGGCACACUGGUCUCUUGGGGAGAUGCACCCUGGUGCCUGGUGUUUCCCACCUCACAUGGGGACUGUGAGUGGGCAGAGAUGGGAUCAUCUUCACCAUAAGACAGAGUCUCAGAAUAGUUUGGUUGGCUGGCUCCAUCCAAACCUAAAUGUGCAAUAAGGAGACUAUUUCAAAUGUAUUAUUAUUUUACACCUUUUUACCUAGAGAAGUUGAGCAGUAGCAACAACACAAAUCAAGAUCUCAAAAACAGAGGCACUGGGUGGCUCAGUCACCAGGCUCAGUUCAUGAUUUCAAGGUCAUGAGAUCAAGCCCCAUGUCAGGCUCAAUGCUGGGUGUGGAGCCUGCUUAAGAUUCUCUCUCUUUCUCUCUCUCUCUAAGUAAAAAAAAAAUCUCAAAAACAAAACCCAUCAAAUAACACCUACAGAAAUAUAAUUGUAUCCACAGAGUGGAUAAACUUGGUCUAGAUAACCAAAAAGACCAUUAGUUCAUUACAUGGAAUAUACAAAGGCUUAAUACUUUCUAACAAUAUGAAUAUAAAAGAUGUGUGCUUAUAUAAAAAAACACAUUAGCAUUUUGUCGGAACUAACGAACACAAGACUUUGGGGAUGGAUCUAGAAAGCGAGAACAACAAUCCACUAUGGAGAUCAUACUGUCUCCUGACUCUAGGAUUCUUCUUUCUCUCUUUCACAUUCACCAUCUUACCCUCUCCUUGAAAGGCUUCAGUGGUUCUCUCAAGUAAAAAAUUCUUUACUUGAUCCAUGGAACACUGGACUUGGAUUCAGAUGAUCUGUGUUUAAAACCUAGCUCUGUGUUAAGAAUUUACACAAUAUUUGGACUGUCUGAACUUUUGUUUUCUUAUCCAUAAAAUGAUGAUAAGAGCCAUCACAGAGUCAUGUGGGCACAUGAAAUAAUAUCCACCUGGCAGCCACUAGAUUUUCGAUAAAUAUUAGCCUUGCUUGUUUGUCUGACCCAAACUAGCCUCCUCCAACCCUAUAAACCCCAAUUUUCUAUUGCCUCCCACCUUGCUGUCACCUGUGGCCUCAUGGGCUCAUGAAAACACAAGUUGUGUAUUUCUUUUCACGAUGGUCCCCAAACCCCCUCUCCUCUCAUCUUUCCUUUCCAUCCAAAGUCCAAUAACUCCUGACUCUUCCCUGACUCCUUGGACUCAGUGUUUUCCCCUGACCUUGGUGUUAUUCUGUUUUCUCUUUCAGCCCUGCAUCAUCUGUGCAUACCCUUCCUCUUCUUUAAAGUCUAGGUUACCCUCGGACAGUAAGGAAAAACGCAGAGUCUUCCAAAGCAAUAGUUUUCACCCUGACUUUCCUCUCAAUGACGUAUUCUCUCUUUGGUCUCCAAUCUCCUCCAGAAGCCACAAUCCCAGGAUAAGAGAAAAUUAGAGAUAGAGAUGGGAUGAGUGAGUGGGAUGACAAAGUAGAGAUGAUAAAUUCAGCUCUCAUUUACACGUUGUGUGGUAGCAAUCGUUUCUGCUGUUGGUCUUAAAGCCUCAGAAUAUAAGCUCCUUGAAGGUACUAAGCCACAUACAAAUACGUUCUAGUCUUUAUCCACCAGUGGGUUUCACUAAACCCUCAAACAACUUUCCAGGCUAGGCAGGUAACAAAUAAUUGAAGCAUUCAGGUGUGCAGCAAUAUGGAAUAGUGGUGACAGUCGUUUACCAGACAGUUUAUGACUCACCUGCAGUAAACAUGCAAACUUAAAAUUGUAUUAUCACCCUAUGCAGACUAUACAAAAACAUCUUUAGGUGGUCUUGGUACUCAGAGCCCAACUUCAGACUCCUGAUUUGGGAUUUUGCAACACCAUGGCAAUCCACUGAGAAGUUCCCCUAUCUGCCUUGUUAUUGUUAAUAAUUCAGUGCAGUCCCCUUGGAAACACUUUCAUAGGACACCAUAACAUUUUUACAUUCACACACUCAGUUAUUUGGCAAACACACUUUAAAAAGGCCACAGAAAAUGACAGAACGAGAGAUACUCCAUAUGCAAAACCCUACAACAUAAAGCAGAAUUUUCUUCUAAGGCUCUAAUUAGCACAUCCAUUCCUCAUAUACAUGAACACUAAAAUGUCCUAUUAAACAGUGGGUCAUCCAUCAACGUGUGUAGCACCCAGCAGGAUUUCAGCACAAAGUCUAACUUUGCCAAGAAAUUACCCCUAUAAAACUGUCUCAUGACUUUAACUCCUACAGUGAUAAUACCUAGAUCAGUAAUAAGGGAAUUUUCAAAAGCUACAUUAAACCUUGAAAAGCUAUUCAUAACCGAAAAACAUAAGAACCAUAUUAAUGUAACAAACCAUUUUCUUUGACAGACAAGCAAGGACUGAAUUAGAAAAGCAAAGCUAGGGUACAAGUCACAAGGAGAAGGAGAAAGAAAGAGGAUUCACAAUCACAUAAAGCCAUCUUCCCAUCCUGUAAGUUAAGGAAGAUCAUGUCACCUUAAACACAUACAGGAAAGUAAUUGCCUGUUGUCAGAGAAAUGUGUCCUAGCUUCCUAGAAAUUAUAGGCCAUAAUUAUGUCACAUAAACCAUAUUUUAGCAGAAAACUUUUUUGCACUUUUUAAUCCAUAUCCCACCUUGCCAUGGCAUAACCCUAUUAUCCAGUUACUUCAUUUUAUACUCCCAAACCCUUCCCUCCCACCACCACCCACACAUAUACAAAUACUUUUUCUCACCAUCUACGAUGAUGGUCAGUUUUAUGUGUCAACUUGGCCAAGCUAUAGGCUUCAAUUAAUUAAUCAAACAUUAAUUGAGGUGAUACUAUGGAAGUAUUUUAUAGAUGUGACUAAAGCCCUUAAGCAGUUGACUUUAAGUAAUGGAGAUUAUCCUACAUAAGCCUUAAGAGGAGAACUGAGGCCUCUCUGGACACAGAGAAAUUUUACCUGUGGAUUUCAGAGCUCUAUAUUUCUCUACCAGCUUCAGUAUUAGCAUAGGCCAAUUGUUUGCAAUAAAUCUCUUGAUAUAUAUAUAUAUAUAUAUAUAUAUAUAUAUAUCACCUUGAUAUCACCUUAAAAAAUUAUUCUUAUAUAAACUCUAUCCCCCAUGUGGGGCUUGAACUCAUGACCCCGAGAUCAAAAGCUGCAUGCUGUGAUUAAACCAGCCAGGCAUCCCAAUAUCACCUUGAGAUAUAUAUAUAUAUAUCUCAGAUCCGAGGUGGAUCACUUCACGUAAACCCUCUUUGACAUUACUGGGGAGACAGUGUCAAUCAAUGUACCACACUAAGUCAGAUAAGUGAGACAAGAGAGAACCUGCCAGGAACAUGAAGAUAGCAUUUUCUUGGUUCUAAUAACCUCACUAUUCCAUCUAGAAUAAAGAACCUCACUUGAAACAUGAAACCUUUACUUUCAUUGGUUGAACAUUUUGAACAUAUUUUUAAAGUGUAAGAGUUGUCUACAAUUAAAUUUUAUCUUAGAAAAUCAUGUUUAAGGUAGAGUGAAAGGGACAUCUGGGUGGCUCAGUCUGUUAAGCCUCCAACUUCAGCUCAGGUCAUGUUCUCACGGUUUGUGGGUUCAAGCCCCGCGAGCCCCGCACUGGGCUCUGUGCUGACAGCUCAGAACCUGGAGUGUGCUUUGGAUUCUGUGUCUCCUUCUCUCUCUGCUCCUCCUCUGCUCACUCUGUCUCUCUCUCAAAAAUAAAUGAACAUUAAAAAAAUUUUUUUAAAUAAAAAAGGUAGAGUAAAAAAAAGCUAAGUAGAUGCAGGACAGACAAGAAAUGCACAAAUCUUCUCUGGGAUGAAUGCUUAAUCUCUUCCUUAUUCUUUCUUGCUGGAAAAUAAUUCACUGAUCUAAAGAUGAACAAAAAGAAGUGACACAGAAAAAAACAUCAUGCAAUAAAAAUUACAUUAACAUUUCCAUGGCAUUUGAUAACCUAAAAUUUAGCAUGCAGUUAUCCCUUCCUAUGAAAAUCCUGAUUUUCUUCAAAAUCUACAAAUAAUUUACUGCAUUAUCCAAUGCGGUGUGCUUUUCCCUCCCUCCAAUAGCGAAAGUAAUUUUAUCUUUUCUGUCACUAUCUGUCAAAAAUUUCAGAAUCCCCAGUUAUAAUUGAGGUUAUUGCUAAUUCCAGAAAGGGUAAGUUUGGAAUGGUUGUCAGAACUCUCAGAAAAGGAGCCGUUUGUAUAAAUCAGAAACUAGACAUUUGGGCUUCUGGGAAAUGGGGCCAUUAGCUUUUGAAUGCAACACGCUGCUCCCAGGGAAUCAACUGCUAUUAACUUUCAUUAGCUAACAUUUGCCCUCCUGGUGGAAGAGGGGAAGGCUGUGAUGCAACACCAGCAAAAUAGAAAACAAGAGAGGGAGUAACGAAAUGACGGAGGGCAGUAGCUACCGCUACCAUGCUUUGGUUACAUCACGCAUUUAUUUUUUCUCUUACCUUGGGCUAAAAGGAAUAGCAAUAAGAUAUGUUAUGUGGCUCAUAUCAGUAAGUAAAAUUACAUGGUGGAUAGCAAAUUGUUAUAUUUCUGCUGAAGAAUAAGGUUUUUUCUGUAUAUUCUUUGUUGCUGUUCUUUUUUUGGCCAGCCUUAUCCACCUUGUCAAGUCAGAAAUUUCUUCUCUGUUACCUUCUCUCAAUCCCAGGCUCUUGUUUUUCUCUUUCUAUUGCUAAGUGUGGAAAAAUAUGGAAGACCUGCAACUAUGCCUCCAUUGGUUUGACUAAUCACAUGUCCAAAGGAAAGAAGGAAAAGAUUAGAGAACUCAGGUCAUUUAGACUGGGUCACUAAAGUGGACAAUGUUCUUUUUGUCUAGCUUUUUACCAACUACAAUUCAUAGACCUUUCCCUGUUUCAAUAGCCUAUGCCUAUUCAGGGUUCCAGGCAUAAAGGACUCAGAGAGAUCCCUGACCUUCACUAGAAAAGCACUAAGAAAUAAUGCACCGUUCUUUCUCCAGGUUAUUUUGUGUACGUGGGGGGAUAGGAGGAGGACUCUUAACAAGGUCUACCUACUAUAACAAUUCACAGGCUGUGCUGAUCUACUUCAGAGUAUUAUUCCCUCCCCUUUGUGGAAGGUACUUAGUCUGAAGACAUCAGAGAAUGGCAGAACACUUUGCUCUUGCCCAGCAAGCAAUUCUCAUGUGGCAGAGGAUGGAAACAGAGGGGAAGGAUGGGGGGCGGGGGGGAGGGAAGAAACUACAGAAAAUGAGGACAAAUGUACAAGGUAUAUGUUAUCUGAAAAAGGCUAUUUGAUAUUAUUGUAAAACAUAUAUUUAUUUGAAAGAUAAAACACACAUAUUGUUUUAAGAACAUCAACUACUAAAAGAAAGUUUCCAAAAAUUUUUCUGAGGUCAUAUACAUAUAUGGAAAAUAGACUCAGUCAGGCUCUGGGCUGAUGGCUCGGAGCCUGGAGCCUGUUUCCGAUUCUGUGUCUCACUCUCUCUCUGCCCCUCCCCCGUUCAUGCUCUGUCUCUCUCUGUCCCAAAAAUAAAUAAACGUUGAAAAAAAAAUUAAAAAAAAAAGAAAAUAGACUCUAGGAUUCCAAAUGAGAGAAAAAUGACAGAAUCUCAAUGUCAGCAAACAGGUAUGUGGAAUAUUUGUAUUUAUCAGAAGAGAACAAGAUUUUAUAAAGCUUCAUAAAUACCAUUCUAAUUCUAGCCAUCAGUGUUCAAAAUAUACAAAAUGAUAACCUAAAAGGAAGGAAGGGGUCCCACAAAUCAGGGGUAAGGAUUUUGGCACUUCUUAUUCAUUCCUCCCAGUUCCCUGCAUGACACCCCCUCUGUGAGGUUGGUAAGACCCCCUCUACUCUGUUUCAGCCUCUGGGUCUCUCCCCCUUUUCUUUUCCUCUCUGGAGCCUCAGAUACAAGUGUAGUAAUCAAGUGACUCAAAGCUGUUCUUACGAUUGUCCAUCCCUGCUCUAGAUAAAGGAAGGGUUUCAUGCAAAUACCUUCACAGGCAGACACUUCUGUGUUAUCCUCUUCAUGGGUAGAGAGCAGGUGGCUGAAUUUUGAUUUCUGCUCCAAUCCCACCUGUGUGCCUUUCUUAGAUGCUUCUGAACGAAAACUCUGGGACCGGGACACGGAAAUCUCAAAUUGUUUGAUCACCUCCUCGUCACUGUCAGAAGAUGUGCAUGGCUCUUCAUCAUCUCCAAAGCUGUUAACUGGGAGCAAACAAGAGCCAUGAGUUUCAUGGGGGGCCCACAAUAAUACAGAGAUACAUAAUUUGGAGAAACAGAAGA